rnacentral:rRNA from 1 species
UACGGAAGGCAGCAGUGGGGAAUAUUGCACAAUGGGCGCAAGCCUGAUGCAGCCAUGCCGCGUGUAUGAAGAAGGCCUUCGGGUUGUAAAGUACUUUCAGUCGUGAGGAAGGUGUUAAGGUUAAUAACCUUAGCAAUUGACGUUAGCGACAGAAGAAGCACCGGCUAACUCCGUGCCAGCAGCCGCGGUAAUACGAAGGGUGCGAGCGUUAAUCGGAAUUACUGGGCGUAAAGGGCACGCAGGCGGUUAAUUAAGUUGGAUGUGAAAUCCCCGGGCUUAACCUGGGAAUGGCAUUCAAGACUGGUUAGCUAGAGUCUUGUAGAGGGGGUAGAAUUCCAUGUGUAGCGGUGAAAUGCGUAGAGAUGUGGAGGAAUACCGGUGGCGAAGGCGGCCCCUGGACAAAGACUGACGCUCAUGUGCGAAAGCGUGGGGAGCAAACAGGGAUUAGAUACC